UUGGUCAUUUAGAGGAAGUAAAAGUCGUAACAAGGUUUCCGUAGGUGAACCUGCGGAAGGAUCAUUAACAAAUCAUUCUGGGGGGGGAGAGCUCUGAGGGAUAAAGCCCGCCUGUAAUGGGUGUGCACAUGCCCUCCUAGCCCCCUCUCCCUCAUAUAUAAACCCCGAACCUGUGCAGCAAUGCCAGGCGAGGUGUAGGGCCUUCGGGUCCUGCGGUGAAAGGCAACGGUGCUACAGUCAAAUGUUGCCACAGUUGCCCGGAUCCACAUAGACG
rnacentral:rRNA from 1 species